rnacentral:rRNA from 1 species
UACGGGGGGGGCAAGCGUUGUUCGGAAUUACUGGGCGUAAAGGGCUCGUAGGCGGCCAACUAAGUCAGACGUGAAAUCCCUCGGCUUAACCGGGGAAAUGCGUCUGAUACUGGAUGGCUUGAAUCCGGGAGAGGGAUGCGGAAUUCCAGGUGUAGCGGUGAAAUGCGUAGAUAUCUGGAGGAACACCGGUGGCGAAGGCGGCAUCCUGGACCGGCAUUGACGCUGAGGAGCGAAAGCCAGGGGAGCAAACGGG